ensembl:lncRNA
GGUGGUAUAAAUAAUUCACUCAGUCAGAUUCUGAGGCUUACUUAGAAAAUGUAGACGUUGAGGUACAAGCAGGCAAUCUGUGAAAAUAUUUGAUAAAUCCAGGAUUUCCUGAAUAAUAGGUUCCUUGUUCAGUGUAUGCCAGUUAGUUUAUUCUGGUGACAUGGGAGGUGGUUCAUUUGUGUGUUAUGCAACCAGGCACGAGGUCACAAAGGUCUGGCUAUUCAUCCGAUAUUUCAUAUUUUAUCUUUACAACAAACUUCAAGAAGAGCAAUUAAUAUAAAGACAAGACACACUGCACAGUUUAUUUGAUAUGCCACCCUUUUGUUUGAGGAUGAGACCGGUGGCUUCAUGUGAUUUAUGAGACGGAGCAGGUUUUUUUUAUUUUUUUUUAUUGCUUGACUACAUCACUGAUGCUGCUGCAGUCAGUCACCUUCAAAAUCCAGAGCUGCGGUCGCUUGGCUGUUUCUGUUCUAAACGGUGUCUUUUCAUAUUGUCUGUGUGUGAAACGAGAAGUUUUGACAGCUCUUUUGUGCUUGGUAUCCGAGCAAUAGUUGCCUCGUCACUGUGUGUUUGUGCAAGCUAUGGUCCUGUGUGCUGUUGCUACAGCAUGCUUAACUCCCACUCUGGUCUGUGUCCUCCUUAUUGCAAGCGACGCAUGGAAAUGAGAGCGAUAAGCCAGCAUCGUGAGUUUCAAAAUAAACACAAUGUCCUUUUCAGCUACAAGAUAAAAACAGAUGCUUGCUAUAGAAGCACGCAGAACAAGCACUGAAUUCAAUGUGUGUAUAUUUGUUUAUAUUAAUUGCUGUUUUGCUAUUGAAAAUUAAUUAAUAAUUUACCUCCAGGGACCAAAAAGAGGCUGAGACGUUGUAGAGCAAAGAAGUGUGGCAGAGACAACUACGAAGCUUCAAGCUAGCAUUAUCAUAGCUUUGCCCAGUUUGAUGGCAAGAGAAGGGUCAUGUUUAGGGUUUUUUUUAUGCAAUUUGUUUCUCACCAGAGGAAAGAAAGGAUUACUUUUUACAUGAGACUGGAGUUAACAUGCA